GUCAGAACUAGGAAACUCGGAAAUGUCCGACUUGCUAACGGACUGUAGUUAUACUCGUGCCGUGUUUAACGAAUCAACAAGUAGGACAUUUCCAAGUAUCCCAAUUCCGACUGGUACAUGAAUACGGCAUAAUCACGCUUUGUAAGUGAUCCCGUACGUCAUCAAUUUCCUAAUUGCCUCAGGGCAGUCUCUCAACUAAGGGAUUAGACCCGGAUACAGGUCGAGGUUCUUUAUAUUUGUCUUAAACUGUCUGCAAGCUUUUUUUUGUCUGGGCAUUGCAAUGCAGGUGCCACAGUGACCUCUGACCUGUGGCUCUGAUGACAGUGGUGACCCUGACUGGCGAGUGGGUGAUGUCAUAAUAGAGAGACUACUGCAGGGAUGCUGCAUGUGCAGGCUCAGAACAACAUCAAGAGCUCCAGACCACAGCUAAAACUGCUCAUACACAGAUAUUUGUCACAGUUGUGAUGUCCCCAGGCAUAGGCAUCUUCUUCUGGACUCUGAGGUCUACCAGAGAAUCCAGGGCAGGAGAGAAACAACCACAGACCCUCGCCAGUCCAACACCUUCCACCUGAUACAGGAGGUGCUGGAGGAAGACUGUAGAAACGUCAAGAUCAAAGAGGGGCAUCACAGGAUUGGAGAAGCCUUACCAAGACCCAGAUCCUUCUAUCAGAACUACAACACAGCAACCAUGGUUCUAACCUUAAGAGAAAUCUAACAUACUACUACCACCACCACCAUCUCCCCACAGAAUAGACACAUUUUACAAUGAUAACUCACAGGCUACUUGUUGUCGGACCAAACCCAGGACACAUGAUGUGCUUUACUUGUGCUUGAGAGGGGACAAACUUGUCAAAUGCCUUUAUUGGUGUAUUAUAUUUGUGUGCAGUAGGGGGCAACCUCUACACAUUUGCUGCCUGAGUUAGUUUACUCAAAGUGUGUAUGUAAGAUCUUAUUAUGAUCAAACUACAUAAUUUAAUUAUGUGUAACCAUACUAUGCAUUUAUUGUAGAUAUUGGGCUGUUAUAUCACAUUGUUACGUAAGUGGUGAUAAGUUGAAAUAGAAUGUUAUUAUGUAAAUCAACAUUAAAGUGAGACAUUUGCAUGAGAUAUAUAAGUGUUAAGGGGAUUUUUAUUAAUGAUGACUAAUUAUGUAUACAUUUCAAUCAGGACUGACUAAUCAGAAUACUAUUAUGUUACUGUAUAUGUACUAAUCAGAAUACUAUUAUGUUACUGUAUAUGUAUGAAUUUUCUUUUUAAUCCUAGUACUGAAUAUAAUGUGUGUAAAUAUAAUCAAGAAUUAGAACAAUGACUGUCUGUACCAUGGUAGAAAUGAAUUAACUUAUAGUCAGUCUGGCUAGAAGGCUUAUCUACACAAGCAUGGCCUUGGCUCGGUCAUAUAUUAUCUUAAAUAGGGAGAGACAUGUGAGAACCAUACAGCCAUUGUACUACAGCGGAGAUGACAUGGGCUAGUACUGACACUAAUGACGUCAUUUUCAGUUUAUAACCUGUGGUAAAAUGUGUAAUGGGCAGUACUCUCGUGAAUAAAAGCUGCUGUUUGACUUUAA